GGGGAUUCUGUGUCCCUGCAUCCAGAAAAGGGACAGAUAUAGAAAGGGAGGAUGCGGUCUCACCGGGCCAUAAACAUAUAUGAAUCCUUCUUGGAAGGAAUCAGAAAUACUCGCAGGCCUUCUAGUUUCUGGGUAAACUGAUAGAACACAGGCUCUUUAACUGGACAGUCAAACCACAAUGCCCCCUGGUGGUGAAAUCAUGCAUAUACACAUGUCAUCACAGAUAGGAAAUUCUCCAAUAAGGUCAACACGACAAGGACAUCUGCAGUGAUCUUUCUACAUGCUCUGCCAACUUGGCACUCAUCUAUAACUUUAGAAGAGGAGGCAGAACAUCAGUGAUGACUGCAAACAUAUGCUUGAUUUUUUUAAGCAACGGGAAAAUGAAAAAUGAACGGGAGGAGGGAACACUGCUGCCUUCUGAGGACAGAAGUCGUGUUUCAAGUAGUCAGGAGUGAUGGGGAGGUGGGACGAGAAUGAAGAUUUAGGGGAAUCUGAACAAAACAAGGUGGUGUAUGGGGAAUGAGGGCAGUCAGUAAAGCCAAAUAGUACCAGGUGGAAAAAUAGCCUAAAAGAAGUACAAGUCUAAUCAUCCAAAAAUUCUAAAGCAAAACUAAAACUCCAUAGUUCAGCAAAAGACACCCUUUCAGGUGUUUAGAAGACUGUGGUUAUCCGUUUAAAGAUGUUCCUCUCUCAAGGAAUCUCUGAGAACUAUAAAUGUG
ensembl:lncRNA novel transcript, antisense to WWOX